ACGUCAAGUCCUCAUGGCCCUUACGGGCUGGGCUACACACGUGCUACAAUGGCGAUGACAGAGGGAUGCAAAGGUGCGAGCCUGAGCUAAUCUCCAAAAAUCGUCUCAGUUCGGAUUGUUCUCUGCAACUCGAGAGCAUGAAGGCGGAAUCGCUAGUAAUCGUGGAUCAGCAUGCCACGGUGAAUACGUUCCCGGGCCUU
rnacentral:rRNA from 1 species